rnacentral:tRNA from 1 species
GAAAUAAGAUAAAUUAAGCUUCUAACUUAAUAAAAAGCGUUAACCGUUUAUAUUUCU